rnacentral:rRNA from 1 species
UAGGGAAUCUUCGGCAAUGGGGGCAACCCUGACCGAGCAACGCCGCGUGAGUGAAGAAGGUUUUCGGAUCGUAAAACUCUGUUGUAAGAGAAGAACGUGUGUGAGAGUGGAAAGUUCACACAGUGACGGUAACUUACCAGAAAGGGACGGCUAACUACGUGCCGG